GAUGUCUUUGUUAGUAGGUGUUUUUGGAGGAUCCUUGGGUAGUGCUUGAAACACUUUAUCUCAAAUGAACACCUACUUUGACAAAGAUGAAGAGUUUAACGGGCAUUGGUUGCCUCAGUGUUGGGGAUCCCAACAGCUGGAGAAAACCUCUCCAAGGGGAUAUCCAUGUUUUCCCUGUCUGGGGAAGGGGGUGUUUAGAGAUGCGGAUACACCAACUUCUUGCCAUCCAGGACCCAAAGCAGUUCCAUAGUGUAGUGGAUGCAGUGGACCAUAAUUCUCUUCUAGCAAUUUCUAGCAAAUUCCAUGGUUCAAGCAUCAUUCCAUCUAUUGGCAUCUAUGACUUAUGUCACAUAAGUCUAAAAUGGUCUGAUCAGGAUUUCUUUUGUUUAUAGCAGGGGACUCUGCAUGCACACUUAAAAUUGUGUGUUUUUGAGCGUGUUUAGCUUGAAACCCCAACUGUAUUUAACACUUAAAGUUAUAUUUAAAGAACAAAAUCACCAUCGCAAUACGACCCCCUUUGACAUCAAAGAGGAUUGCACAUGUGUGCGCUGUCAUCAGAGUCACAGUGAGUUUGUCACCUAUAGUGCAUUUAACAAACGCCAGUGAGGGCUGUAAGGAAACCGCUUUAAUAAUGGUGGCAUGGCUUUAUGUCUUAUAUCAAAGUCUAUGUGUAUCAAUCAACUGUGUGCACGUGUACGUUAUUAGUGCAUGUUGGAUGAAUAAGGGUGGGGCUAAGAGGAACAGUCUUUAAAAUCCUACAGGAGUAACCCUGCCAUAACAGAUGAAUAUAGUUCAAAUGAUGGUUCACUCUGUCAAAUCUGGUUGCACAUAUUCAGAGCUCGAGAGUGGCCUCACGCCAAAAUAAAAUCCACCGUGUGUGUUAUUUUUUAUUUUUUUAAAUGGUGUAAACACUGACACCAGUAAAGUACAUUUCAAGAGCAGUGUCCCCUUUUGGUGUGAGACCAUUUUUGGCAUUAGUCUUAGAGUGAACCAUCACUUAAACAUGGCUUACACAGUUUAUCAUGGAGCUAGCAGUGCAGCCUCCCUUUCUCUGUGCUUCCUACCUGUUCCACCUCUUGUUAGCAGCUUUAUUGUUUUUAGUAGUUACUGCUUGCUUAUGUCGCAUUUAUUCAGCCGUAAAAGUUCACAUAAUAUACCAUGUUAGCUUCCUGAUAAAAUAAU